rnacentral:rRNA from 1 species
UACGUAGGGGGCGAGCGUUGUCCGGAUUUAUUGGGCGUAAAGAGCGUGUAGGCGGUUCGGUAAGUCUGUCGUGAAAUCCUGAGGCUCAACCCCGGGUCGGCCGCGGGUACUGCCGGGCUGGAGUGCCGUAGGGGCAGGCGGAAUUCCGGGUGUAGCGGUGGAAUGCGUAGAGAUCCGGAAGAACACCGGUGGCGAAGGCGGCCUGCUGGGCGGCGACUGACGCUGAGACGCGAAAGCGUGGGGAGCAAACAGG